GAUGAACGCUGGCGGCGUGCUUAACACAUGCAAGUCGAACGGAAAGGCUCCUGCUUGCCGGGGUACUCGAGUGGCGAACGGGUGAGUAACACGUGGGGGAUCUGCCCUGCACUUCGGGAUAAGCCUGGGAAACUGGGUCUAAUACCGGAUAGGACGAUGGUUUGGAUGCCAUUGUGGACAGUUUUUCGGUGUGGGAUGAGCUCGCGGCCUAUCAGCUGGUUGGUGGGGUAAUGGCCUACCAAGGCGUCGACGGUUAGCCGGCCUGAGAGGGUGUACGGCCACAUUGGGACUGAGAUACGGCCCAGACUCCGACGGGAGGCAGCAGUGGGGAAUAUUGCACAAUGGGCGCAAGCCUGAUGCAGCGACGCCGCGUGGGGGAUGACGGCCUUCGGGUUGUAAACUCCUUUCGCUAGGGACGAAGCGCAAGUGACGGUACCUGGAGAAGAAGCACCGGCUAACUACGUG
rnacentral:rRNA from 1 species